CCCACGUAGUUAGCUACAAGCACUCCGCCAUUACACAUUAACUAGCUAGCUUUGUGCUGCUCAGUCAGUGUUGGGCAAGUCUGUGGUCAAAUGCAACGUUCUUUCAACUCACCCGCCGUUUUGCGUUCCACCAAAUGACAUUAAUCUUCUAUUUGGUUGAAUUUCUCUUUGCGUAAAAACACUAACGUUAAUACUGACUCCGCCAGACUUUCAAUAUUGUCCAGACAGUGGAGUACUGCAAGAGCUUUCACUCUAUGCGAUAUCGUUCCCACUUCCUGUUUUUUGGGGGAAAGGACCGGUGCUGUGUUGGAUUUUGCUUCCCUCACACAGAUUAUUUUUCUUCAAUCAUGUGCGACGCUAGGGGACGCAGUGAGCAGGCCGCGUCUCACCGGAUGAUGCAGUCCUGUGGCUGCCUGCUAUCAUCGUUUUCCUGCCACCCCAGGUGAGUGUUGCGGAUAUGAACCAGAUUAAUCUCGGUUCAGGUUUCCCAAAUGAAACCCCACAGCUUGGUCUACGUCUACAGACAUUUUACAAGCAGGAUGCUGAGGUGAUUAUGUCAGAGCCAGGUAAACUAUGGUUGUUGUCAGCACGUGUUGUUGCCUCUGUGUUUAAAAACAAUAACAUUGGCCCCAUUGCAGUUUAUUGCAUGUGUAAAAUGUAUUGUUGUCAACUUUUUUUCAACAUGUGUGGUCCUUUGUGGACCGUUUAAUUAGCCCAACUGUUUAUUGACAUUUUUCAGUAAACUGAUUUCCCCUCCAACUACAUGUUGUUUCUUAAAAACAUGUUUGCCUAGCUACCGUUGCUAACCAUGAUUUAUUUAUUUACCAUGAUUCACUCUGAAUCGCUCAGGAAUGUCUCUCCUUCCUGUACUUUGUAAGUAGGCUAUCAGCCAAGUUGAACCUUUUUUAAUCACCUUGGCAAUUAGAUCAUGGAUCUGCAGGCUAAAAUUAAAUACCCAUUGCCACAUAGACUUAGCCUAAUUUUAAUGCUUAUGUCUGAGUUUGGGUUAUCAGGUCAUAUGCCUUAUUAUGCAUAAUGUCUUGUCUAUUCUGUUCUAGUGUUGAGUACACUGGUGGUCUAUCCAUCAUCAGAGGUUCUACUGAUGCCGACUCUGACCGUGGAGCCUUCAGGACGACAGGUGUACACUGAGGACACAGUCACCUUGGCAUGUCAGUUACCUGGCCACUCUGGGCUGGGCUGGCAGUUCUACUGGCACAAAGACAGGCAGGACACUGGCCCUGUGGAGCAGAUGUGGGGCAGUGGUGGAGGUGGGGCGGUCUACCAAAUGUGGCGUGCCUCUGUCACACACACAGGCCAGUACUGGUGCAGAGCAGGGAGAGGACAGCCAGUCUUCUACACCCAAUACAGCCAGGCAGUCUCUGUUAAUGUCAUUGAGCUCUUCACAUCAGUGACUUUGUCAGCAUUUCCUUCGACCGUGGUCAAAGAGGGCGGGGCUUUCAACCUCACCUGUGAGGCCCAGUUUAGCAACUGCAAGCUGAGCCAACAUCAUGGUAACCACAGUCUACAUAGUCACCCUGAUCCUAACUGGACCACAGUGGUUGUAACAUUCUCCUUCCUGAGGGACGGCUGGCCAGUUGCCAGGGACUCUGUCAGUGGGAUGUACAGCGUAGCGAGGGCUUCUAGCUGUCACAUGGGGACCUACAGCUGUGUGGCCAGAGCAGGCAGGGCCAGGAGGAGCAGUCAGGAGAUCAGCAUCACACUAGACAGUGAGUUCAUACUACAUCACCUGAACGUUUAGUUUGCCAAUUGCUAUAGGCUUUCAUUCCUGGUCUGAAAUCAUCUAUUAUUAUUUUUUUACCUUUAUUUAACUAGGCAAGUCAGUUAAGAACAAAUUCUUAUUUUCAAUGACGGCCUAGGAACAGGUUAACUGCCUGUUCAGGGGCAGAACGACAGACUUGUACCUUGUCAGCUCGGGGAUUUGAACUUGCAACCUUUCGGUUACUAGUCCAACACUCUAACCACUAGGCCACCCUUAUUGUGGUGCCAAAACUGGCACUCUUUACCGUUCACUUUGUAUCCUGAUCUCUCUCAUGCUGCCUUCAUCCAGACCUGUCUCUGAUACUGGUCACCUGCUUUGGCACCUUCCUGAUCCUCUCCGUGGCUCCAUUGGCAUUUUUUGUGAGACUAUACGCGAUGAGAUGUAAGUGGCAGCAUAGUGGAUCUUAGUCUGACUCUUGAGUCUCUGGGACUGAGUCAGUUCAACACCUAUCUCUUCUCUUUGUGUGACCAUGCAGUAUGGCAGCUCAGAGGCAGAGGACAAGGAGAAUUGCAGUGCAAUUCACAUGCUGUGAGAACUCAUGUAGUUCACAUGGCUGUAUUAGUGCACAGGUGUAGGAUCUUAAUUUCAUCACCCUGUUGCAUGUUUUUUACUCAAAAGAUUAAAACAGAUGUUUUAUUGUAAUCUUGCAGAUGUAUCUGGACCCAGCUGACUUGAGAAACUUUCUAUCAUUUAUUACAAAAUUGGAGUAUAGAAUAAUAAACAUAUAAUUAUUUGAAGAAUUUUGACCAAAGAAUGUUUUUGUUUUAUUUUCACCACACCCAAAUAAUACAUUGAUUCAACACUGCCACAUGCCUGCAUUGUCAAAUAGAGCCAACUCUUUUCUCAUAACAGGUUCCAUAUUUUGUACAGAAAUAACUGCCCACCACCAGUUGAUUAAAAGUGAGUGUGAGUGAAUCUCAACAGUGUAAGGCAAACGAUAAUAUGUUUGCCCUUAUGUUCCAUUUAUUGGUGAAUUGUUAGAGCUAAAGGAUUGUAUGAUGAAUGAGCCAAGAUCUGAGAAUUGCAUUCUGUCUCCAUAUAAACUCACAAAAAGAGAAACGUCCCUUUUUCAGUACCCUGUCUUUCAAAGAUAAUUCGUAAAAUCCAAAUAACUUCACAGAUCUUCAUUAUAAAGGGUUUAAACACUGUUUCCCAUGCUUGUUCAAUGAACCAUAAACAAUUAAUGCACAUGCACCUGUGGAACGGUUGUUAAGACACUAAAAGCUUACAGACGGUAGGCAAUUAAGGUCACAGUUAUGAAAACUUACCACACUAAAGAGGCCUUUCUACUGACUCUGAAAAAC
ensembl:lncRNA